rnacentral:rRNA from 1 species
UACGGGAGGCAGCAGUGGGGAAUAUUGCACAAUGGGCGCAAGCCUGAUGCAGCGACGCCGCGUGGGGGAUGACGGCCUUCGGGUUGUAAACCCCUUUCAGCAGGGAAGAAGCGAGAGUGACGGUACCUGCAGAAGAAGCGCCGGCUAACUACGUGCCAGCAGCCGCGGUAAU